rnacentral:rRNA from 1 species
AGCAGCCGCGGUAAUUCCAGCUCCAAUAGCGUAUAUUAAAGUUGUUGCAGUUAAAAAGCUCGUAGUUGAAUUUCGGGGUUAGUAGGUUGGUCAUGCCUCUGGUAUGUACUGGUCUCACUGAUUCCUCCUUCCUGAUGAACCUUAAUGCCAUUAAUUUGGUGUUUUGGGGAAUUUGGACUGUUACUUUGAAAAAUUAGAGUGUUUAAAGCAAGCUAACGCUUGAAUACAUUAGCAUGGAAUAAUGAAAUAGGACGUUCGAUCCUAUUUUGUUGGUUUCUAGGAUUGACGUAAUGAUUAAUAGGGAUAGUUGGGGGCAUUAGUAUUCAAUUGUCAGAGGUGAAAUUCUUGGAUUUAUUGAAGACUAACUACUGCGAAAGCAUUUGCCAAGGAUGUUUUCAUUAAUCAAGAACGAAAGUUAGGGGAUCGAAGACGAUCAGAUACCGUCGUAGUCUUAACCAUAAACUAUGCCGACUAGGGAUCGGAUGAUGUUAAUUUUUAAUGACUCAUUCGGCGCCUUAAC